rnacentral:tRNA from 1 species
GGGGAUUUAGCUCAGUGGCAUAAGCACCUGCCUUGCAAGCAGGCAGUCCUGAGUUCGAUCCCUGGUACCCA